GACGAACGCUGGCGGCGUGCCUAAUACAUGCAAGUUGAGCGCUGAAGGUUGGUACUUGUACCAACUGGAUGAGCAGCGAACGGGUGAGUAACGCGUGGGGAAUCUGCCUUUGAGCGGGGGACAACAUGUGGAAACGAAUGCUAAUACCGCAUAAAAACUUUAAACACAAGUUUUAAGUUUGAAAGAUGCAAUUGCGUCACUCAAAGAUGAUCCCGCGUUGUAUUAGCUAGUUGGUGAGGUAAAGGCUCACCAAGGCGAUGAUACAUAGCCGACCUGAGAGGGUGAUCGGCCACAUUGGGACUGAGACACGGCCCAAACUCCUACGGGAGGCAGCAGUAGGGAAUCUUCGGCAAUGGACGAAAGUCUGACCGAGCAACGCCGCGUGAGUGAAGAAGGUUUUCGGAUCGUAAAACUCUGUUGGUAGAGAAGAACGUUGGUGAGAGUGGAAAGCUCAUCAAGUGACGGUAACUACCCAGAAAGGGACGGCUAACUACGUG
rnacentral:rRNA from 1 species